GAUUUUUGGACAAUGGGCGAAAGCCUGAUCCAGCAAUGCCGCGUGCAGGAUGAAGGCCUUCGGGUUGUAAACUGCUUUUGUACGGAACGAAAAGCUUUGGGUUAAUACCCUGGAGUCAUGACGGUACCGUAAGAAUAAGCACCGGCUAACUACGUGCCAGCAGCCGCGGUAAUACGAAGGGGGCAAUCGUUAAUCGGAAUUCCUGGGGGUAAAGCGUACGCAGGCGGUUUUGUAAGACAGAGGUGAAAUCCCAGGGCGCAACCUGGGAACUGCAUUUGUGACUGCAAGGCUAGAGUAGGGCAGAGGGGAGUGGAAUUCCGCGUGUAGCAGUGAAAUGCGUAGAUAUGCGGAGGAACACCGAUGGCGAAGGCAACCCCCUGGGCCUGUACUGACGCUCAUGCACGAAAGCGUGGGGAGCAAACA
rnacentral:rRNA from 1 species